ACAUGCCUACAACAUAGCGUCAAUGCACUGGAUCUCAUUAGAACUCUGUAGUUAAGAGUGCUCAGGAUAGAGUAGUAUUGGGAUGGGUGACCACCCAGGAAGUCCUAGUGUUUUACAUGCC
rfam:Picea glauca, whole genome shotgun sequence.